CUGAUGCAGCACGCCGCGUGAGUGAUGAAGGUUUUCGGAUUGUAAAGCUCUGUCAUCUGGGACGAUAAUGACGGUACCAGAUGAGGAAGCCACGGCUAACUACGUGCCAGCAGCCGCGGUAAUAC
rnacentral:rRNA from 1 species